AUGGCCACGACGAGGACCGGUGGAGUGGUGACAACCCAUGUGAGAAGCAGCGCUCUGGCUCCUCGAUCCGGCUUUUGGAUCACCGAAUGUCAUGGCUGUUUCAUUGGGUGGAUCCGUGUGCGUGCGCACAAGGAGGCAAGCAAAGCACAAGCGGCAAAUCUUUUGGGCAUGGUCUUAGACUCCACUUCAUUGAGGAAGGAGCAACGAGGUGAGUUCAACAUGUCCAUGCAGCAAGGAAGGUCGAGCGAGAGCCACCUGAGGAAGGGCGAGCACAAGAAAGGGCGAUGA
rnacentral:lncRNA from 7 species